rnacentral:rRNA from 1 species
UUCAGUGAAAUCGAGUAGGGCGGGACACGUGAUAUCCUGUCUGAAUAUGGGGGGACCAUCCUCCAAGGCUAAAUACUACUGACUGACCGAUAGUGAACCAGUACCGUGAGGGAAAGGCGAAAAGAACCCCUGUGAGGGGAGUGAAAUAGAACCUGAAACCGUGUACGUACAAGCAGUAGGAGCACCUUCGUGGUGUGACUGCGUACCUUUUGUAUAAUGGGUCAGCGACUUAUAUUCAGUAGCAAGGUUAACCAUCUAGGGGAGCCGUAGAGAAAUCGAGUCUUAACUGGGCGUCGAGUUGCUGGAUAUAGACCCGAAACCAGGUGAUCUAGCCAUGGGCAGGUUGAAGGUUGAGUAACAUCAACUGGAGGACCGAACCGACUAAUGUUGAAAAAUUAGCGGAUGACUUGUGGCUAGGGGUGAAAGGCCAAUCAAACCUGGAGAUAGCUGGUUCUCCCCGAAAUCUAUUUAGGUAGAGCCUCGGACGAAUACUACUGGGGGUAGAGCACUGUUAAGGCUAGGGGGUCAUCCCGACUUACCAACCCUUUGCAAACUCCGAAUACCAGUAAGUACUAUCCGGGAGACACACGGCGGGUGCUAACGUCCGUCGUGGAGAGGGAAACAACCCAGACCGCCAGCUAAGGUCCCAAAUUAUAGCUAAGUGGGAAACGAUGUGGGAAGGCUUAGACAGCUAGGAUGUUGGCUUAGAAGCAGCCAUCAUUUAAAGAAAGCGUAAUAGCUCACUAGUCGAGUCGGCCUGCGCGGAAGAUGUAACGGGGCUAAGCUAUAAACCGAAGCUGCGGCAAUGUUCUUUGAACAUUGGGUAGGGGAGCGUUCUGUAAGCCGUUGAAGGUGUGUUGUAAAGCAUGCUGGAGGUAUCAGAAGUGCGAAUGCUGACAUGAGUAACGAUAAAGGGGGUGAAAAACCUCCUCGCCGGAAGACCAAGGGUUCCUGUCCAACGUUAAUCGGGGCAGGGUAAGUCGACCCCUAAGGCGAGGCCGAAAGGCGUAGUCGAUGGGAAACGGGUUAAUAUUCCCGUACUUCUUACAAUUGCGAUGGGGGGACGGAGAAGGCUAGGUGGGCCUGGCGACGGUUGUCCAGGUUCAAGUGCGUAGGCUUGAGAGUUAGGUAAAUCCGGCUCUCUUUAAGGCUGAGACACGACGUCGAGCA